CCCACCUGGGGGCGGCCGGGGAUGCGCCCGGCGGCCGGUGGGUCCCGCCUGCGCUGGCCUCCCUCGCUGCUCGCCAGCCCGGACCGCUGCCCUGCCUUCGCUGCCCUGCAUGCCAGCCUGGCACGGCUCUGUGCCCUCGCUCCCCUGCCCUCUCUGCCCUGCCCUGCCCUGCCCUCACCUGCCCGGCUCGCCCCGGCCCCGCCGCCCGCGGCUCUCGGCGGUGGCCCCGAGCCCGGAGCCGCCGGAGGAGCGGGGGCCGUGCCCGGCGUAAGGAUAUAUAGGAGCGGCCGCGGAGCCUCCACGUAGCCGAUACGUAAAGUCCGACGUUCCUGCAAAGCUCCCUUGAGUUUGGAAACGUGGACAACGCUGGAUGGAAAGGGAAUUGAAACAUUUGGAAUUCCCUUUCUGUUCGCCCUCUCUUGGCAAAUUCGCAGCUCCCGACGCCCAGCGAGAGGAACCGUUUUCCCUGCAGAAAUCCUCACUACCGACCCGAGACCCUCUGGCAUCACCUCCCCAUCCUCCAGCGAGGACGGCGGCUUCGCCCACCAGAUUAUGUUUAAAAAAAUAAAAAUAAAAAAAAAAAA